CCCAGGUCUCCAGGAUCACACCCUGGGCUGCAGACGGCGCUAAACCACUGCGCCCCCGAGGCUGCCCUCUCUGUGUCUCUCAUUAAUAAAUAAAUAAAUAAAUCUUUUUAAAGUAAUGUAUGAAAAAUAAAGGAGGGAAUCUUGGAAAUACCAGAAAAAUGCAAAAAAGAAUAUGACGAUCACCUGUGGUCUAACUCUCCGAAAAUAACUAGUGUUAAUGCUUUAGUGUAUUUCUUUAUUGGCCUUUUGUUCCUUAUUUGUUUUUUUACAAACAGUAGAAUCUUUUUUUAAAAUAUUUUAUUUAUUUAUUCAUGAGAGACACAGAGAGAGGCAGAGACACAGGCAGAGGGAGAAGAAGGCUCCUUGCAGGGAGCCCAAUGCAGGACUCGAUCCCGGGACCCCAGGGUUACUCCCUGGGCUGAAGGCAGGUGCUAAACCAGUGAGGCACCCGGGGAUCCCCAUAGAAUCUUUUUAAAUAUUUGGGAUCACCCUGAAUCUAUCUCAUGGGAUAAGAAGAUCCCAGACUUUUUAUGUGGGGAUGCUAAAAACUGGUUCAUCUGAAUGAAUCAGGCCUGGAUACAGUAUAAACUUUGUUCUUGCCUUUUAUUUUAUUUUAUUUUAUUUUUUUGUUCUUGCCUUUUAAAGAUAAUUUUGGAUUCAUGGCAUUCAGACUCAGGUAGUUUUAAUUAGUUAUAAUCAUUAUUGAUGAAGGAUCCCUCUGUGCGGGCUCCUGUGUGGGCCUUCACCAUCCCCCAGGACGUGGAGAAGCACCCCUGCCUCCUCGCAAUGACGGUCCACGCCCGCAGUGCGCCCUCCUGGCCUCAAGAUGCAAAAGCGACUAUUCUCCAGAGAGCCCACGUUCCCUGGGGCAGGGAGGAGCAUCCGUGACUGUGGAUACUGGGGACACCUCUUCAGUUCCUGUGCACUGAUAUUUGGUGCAAAACUGCUUAACGGCUACUUAAGUGAUCAGUUGGACAUGAUCGAUUCUGAAGAGUUUUCUGAAGAUCCUGAUUGUAACUCGUGUAACUUCAUAUUCGUCUUAC
rnacentral:lncRNA from 1 species